AGAACGAACGCUGGCGGCAUGCCUAAUACAUGCAAGUCGAACGAACACUUCGGUGUUAGUGGCGCACGGGUGCGUAACGCGUGGGAAUCUGCCCUUGGGUUCGGAAUAACAGUUGGAAACGACUGCUAAUACCGGAUGAUGACGAAAGUCCAAAGAUUUAUCGCCCAGGGAUGAGCCCGCGUAGGAUUAGCUAGUUGGUGAGGUAAAGGCUCACCAAGGCGACGAUCCUUAGCUGGUCUGAGAGGAUGAUCAGCCACACUGGGACUGAGACACGGCCCAGACUCCUACGGGAGGCAGCAGUGGGGAAUAUUGGACAAUGGGCGAAAGCCUGAUCCAGCAAUGCCGCGUGAGUGAUGAAGGCCUUAGGUUGUAAAGCUCUUUUACCCGGGAUGAUAAUGACAGUACCGGAGAAUAAGCUCCGGCUAACCUCCGUACCAGCAGCCGAC
rnacentral:rRNA from 1 species